rnacentral:rRNA from 1 species
GAUGAACGCUGGCGGCGUGCCUAAUACAUGCAAGUCGAGCGAACAGAUAAGGAGCUUGCUCCUUUGACGUUAGCGGCGGACGGGUGAGUUACACGUGGAUAACCUACCUAUAAGACUGGGAUAACUUCGGGAAACCGGAGCUAAUACCGGAUAACAUAUUGAACCGCAUGGUUCAAUAGUGAAAGGCGGCUUUGCUGUCACUUAUAGAUGGAUCCGCGCCGUAUUAGCUAGUUGGUAAGGUAACGGCUUACCAAGGCAACGAUCCGUAGCCGACCUGAGAGGGUGAUCGGCCACACUGGAACUGAGACACGGUCCAGACUCCUACGGGAGGCAGCAGUAGGGAAUCUUCCGCAAUGGGCGAAAGCCUGACGGAGCAACGCUGCGUGAGUGAUGAAGGUCUUCGGAUCGUAAAACUCUGUUAUCAGGGAAGAACAAAUGUGUAAGUAACUGUGCACAUCUUGACGGUACCUGAUCAGAAAGCCACGGCUAACUACGUG